ensembl:lncRNA
CAUUAGGUUAAAAAAAAAAGACACUUCUGUUUAAUGUUUUUAUCUUUGUAUAAAAGUGAGAUAAGGCGCGUGAAAGAGGGGACGAUUAGCAUUUUUUUCCCUGUUUGUGUCCUCCUGGAACUGCACAGAGAGAGAGAGGGGAUGGCAGCCAUGUCUUCUUCUAUGAUGUUCUUUGCUGGAAUGGAGAAAGAGCGAGGACGAGGGAGGAAACGAGGACUGAAUUUCAAAGAGACACUCUUACAACAACACCCCGCUAUUCACGUGAACACAGACCUCUUCUGGACUUUCAUAGAGGAAAAAAAAAAUUGGCCACUGGAAUGUAAACGCUGGUUUUCCUUUUUUAUUUGUUUUCAGGGUUAAGUUGAGAAUCUGACUGCUGAAGGGUGCAGCAUGCAAUCAGUAUGUUUAAAAAAAAAUAUUUUUAAAGUGUGCGGAGAAGGAAGUGAAAGUGAAAGGACGGGCCUCGACCGAGCUGCUGUGGAGGUGCGCCCUCUGGUGCCGGCACAGCAGCAGUGACAGCAGCAGCCCGUCCACACGGAUCAAUAAGACCCAUCAGUGUUUGGUGUGACGCCCACAGAGGGUCUCGUGGGCUGAUAUUUACUUGAAGAAGAUCAGAAAUAACUUUUUUGUUUCUGUUUUUUUUUUUUUUAUUCUUGUUACUUUAUUUAAAAAAAUGGAAAAAAGGAUAAUCACCCUGCUGUUUGUAUGACUCAGAAACACCAGCUCAAGACAAUUCCCUGUAUAACCUACUACUUUAUGCUUGGUUGGAAUCUCAGUGCAUGCAUAAACUCCUUAUAUAAACUAAGACUGGUGGAUUGGAGACGGCCGUUGUGUGUGGGGACAUCAGUGUGACUGUGUUUUUAGACCGGCUGUCAGGGGUUUCGGUGAGAGGCAGGGGAGCCUCGGUUCCCGUGGCGAGCCCUGGAUGAAGGAGGAUGAGGAUUGAACACAUGCUCGGCGGUGCUUUGCAGAGAUUUUUGGGGGAGGGUGUUGAAAUUCUUAUUAAAUAUUCAAGUCAAGCAAUUCCAAGCUUGAGGAAGGAGAGGAAUAAGGGUCUUAACACAUGUGCUGGAAAAGAAAUGGGGUGCUUUAAAAAAGUAAUUAAAAAAAGAUAAUAAAUUGAUAUUAAC